rnacentral:rRNA from 1 species
UGGGGAAUAUUGCACAAUGGGCGCCAGCCUGAUGCAGCCAUGCCGCGUGUAUGAAGAAGGCCUUCGGGUUGUAAAGUACUUUCAGCGGGGAGGAAGGGAGUAAAGUUAAUACCUUUGCUCAUCGACGUUACCCGCAGAAGAAGCACCGGCUAACUCCGUGCCAGCAGCCGCGGUAAUACGGAGGGUGCAAGCGUUAAUCGGAAUUACUGGGGGUAAAGCGCACACAGGCGGUUUGUUAAGUCAGCUGGGAAAUCCCCGGGCUGAACCUGGGAGCUGCAUCUGAUACUAGCAAGCUGCGGUCGCGUAGCAGGGGGUAGAAUUCCAGGUGUAGCGGUGAAAAGCGUAGAGAUCUGGAGGAAGAACGGUGGGGAAGGCGGCCCCCUGGACGAAGACGGACGCUCAGGUGCGAAAGCGGGGGGAGCAAACAGG